rnacentral:rRNA from 1 species
UGGUGGAGUGAUUUGUCUGCUUAAUUGCGAUAACGAACGAGACCUUAACCUGCUAAAUAGCCAGGCCAGCUUUUGCCGGUCGCGGGCUUCUUAGAGGGACUAUCGGGUUCUAAACCGAUGGAAGUUUGAGGCAAUAACA